CCUCCAAGGCUAAAUACUCCUGACUGACCGAUAGUGAACCAGUACCGUGAGGGAAAGGCGAAAAGAACCCCGGCGAGGGGAGUGAAAAAGAACCUGAAACCGUGUACGUACAAGCAGUGGGAGCACCCUUUGGGGUGUGACUGCGUACCUUUUGUAUAAUGGGUCAGCGACUUAUAUUCUGUAGCAAGGUUAACCGAAUAGGGGAGCCGUAGGGAAACCGAGUCUUAACCGGGCGUUAAGUUGCAGGGUAUAGACCCGAAACCCGGUGAUCUAGCCAUGGGCAGGUUGAAGGUUGGGUAACACUAACUGGAGGACCGAACCGACUAAUGUUGAAAAAUUAGCGGAUGACCUGUGGCUGGGGGUGAAAGGCCAAUCAAACCGGGAGAUAGCUGGUUCUCCCCGAAAGCUAUUUAGGUAGCGCCUCGUGAAUUCAUCUCCGGGGGUAGAGCACUGUUUCGGCUAGGGGGCCAUCCCGGCUUACCAACCCGAUGCAAACUGCGAAUACCGGAGAAUGUUAUCACGGGAGACACACGGCGGGUGCUAACGUCCGUCGUGAAGAGGGAAACAACCCAGACCGCCAGCUAAGGUCCCAAAGUCAUGGUUAAGUGGGAAACGAUGUGGGAAGGCCCAGACAGCCAGGAUGUUGGCUUAGAAGCAGCCAUCAUUUAAAGAAAGCGUAAUAGCUCACUGGUCGAGUCGGCCUGCGCGGAAGAUGUAACGGGGCUAAACCAU
rnacentral:rRNA from 1 species